GGGAUAACUCGUGGAAACGCGAGCUAAUACCGGAUAACACUUUUCAUCUCCUGAUGANAAGUUGAAAGGCGGCUUUUGCUGUCACUUACAGAUGGGCCUGCGGCGCAUUAGCUAGUUGGUAAGGUAAUGGCUUACCAAGGCGACGAUGCGUAGCCGACCUGAGAGGGUGAUCGGCCACACUGGGACUGAGACACGGCCCAGACUCCUACGGGAGGCAGCAGUAGGGAAUCUUCCGCAAUGGACGAAAGUCUGACGGAGCAACGCCGCGUGAGUGAUGAAGGUUUUCGGAUCGUAAAACUCUGUUGUUAGGGAAGAACAAGUGCCAUAGUAACUGAUGGCACCUUGACGGUACCUAACCAGAAAGCCACGGCUAACUACGUGCCAGCAGCCGCGGUAAUACGUAGGUGGCAAGCGUUGUCCGGAAUUAUUGGGCGUAAAGCGCUCGCAGGCGGUUCUUUAAGUCUGAUGUGAAAUCUUACGGCUCAACCGUAAACGUGCAUUGGAAACUGGGGAACUUGAGUGCAGAAGAGGAGAGUGGAAUUCCACGUGUA
rnacentral:rRNA from 1 species